AACGUAGGGGGCGAGCGUUAUCCGGAAUCACUGGGCGUAAAGGGCGUCUAGGCGGUCCAGUAAGUCCUGCGUGAAAGCUCCCGGCUCAACUGGGAGAGCGCGUGGGAGACUGUUGGGCUAGAGACUCGGAGAGGGGUGUGGAAUUCCCGGUGGAGUGGUGAAAUGCGUAGAUAUCGGGAGGAACACCUGUGGCGAAAGCGGCGCACUGGACCAUAACUGACGCUGAUGCGCGAAAGCUAGGGGAGCAAACAGG
rnacentral:rRNA from 1 species